AUGAGUAAGGAGGUCAGAAGCUGGUGGGGACCAGAAUCAUGUCUAGAUGCAGCUUGAGGAAACGGAAACGGUACAGGACUGAGGCUGUGAAUUGAAUGAUAAGAAGGGCCUCCCCCACCCCCAGAAGAGAGGAAAUUCCACAGCUCUGAUGUGAUGAGAAACGUGAUCUGCGCGCCCAGCCCUCCCGCCGGCCUCCCUCCCCGCCGGCUCCCAACCUGGGCGUCCCGGCCCCUCUCCCGAGCCUCCCGCCCCCUCCCCACCCCCUGCCCCUCUCCCUCUGCGUUUUACACUGUGUAACCCGAUAGGCUGGAAAUGUCGCUUCUUUCAUCUUCCAUUUCCCACAUCCUGAAAGUUUGGAGAGGAGAAGCCCACCCAGAUAAAGGAAUUCCAAGUAUGUGA